GACGAACGCUGGCGGCGUGCUUAACACAUGCAAGUCGAACGGAAAGGCCCUGCUUUUGUGGGGUGCUCGAGUGGCGAACGGGUGAGUAACACGUGAGUAACCUGCCCUUGACUUUGGGAUAACUUCAGGAAACUGGGGCUAAUACCGGAUAGGAGCUCCUGCUGCAUGGUGGGGGUUGGAAAGUUUCGGCGGUUGGGGAUGGACUCGCGGCUUAUCAGCUUGUUGGUGGGGUAGGGGCUUACCAAGGCUUUGACGGGUAGCCGGCCUGAGAGGGUGACCGGCCACAUUGGGACUGAGAUGCGGCAGAGGCGACUAUGGGAGGCAGCAGUGGGGAAUAUUGCACAAUGGGCGGAAGCGUGAUGCAGCAACGCCGCGUGCGGGAUGACGGCCUUCGGGUUGUAAACCGCUUUCGCCUGUGACGAAGCGUGAGUGACGGUAAUGAGUAAAGAAGCACCGGCUAACUACG
rnacentral:rRNA from 1 species